GGGGACGUAACAAAGCGACCCAGGAAUGCUUGGGCGUGCCUCCACCCACGCCGGCGUCGGCGGGCGUAUUUCGCCUCACAGUAGGUCGCCGCGACCCGUUGCUUUUGGGGACGUCGAAGGCCCGGACGGAUUGGUACCCUACCGGCUGGGGAUGCGGCUUCGGCUUCUCCUCUUGUCCGGUGGGCGAAACCGCCGGUGUCCUGGCUGCCCUGCGACGGUCGUAGAGACGAGCCCUUCCCAUUCGUGGGGGGCGGCUCUCGCGGCGUGCAAAAGGUCGGUGAUCCACCCGACCCGUCUUGAAACACGGACCAAGGAGUCUAACAUGUGUGCGAGUCAGUGGGCGCACUAAACCCAGAGGCGUAAUGAAAGUGACACGGGUUCGGCUGUCGCCUCGUGUGGCAGUCGGACUCAGGGCCGAUCCCUCACCGGUUGCCCUCGCCUCUCUCCCGCGUCUCGGUAAGCCGGGUGAGCUAUUUUCCCCGGCCGCUGCUGCGGGGCUCGGGGGGAGGCGGGGUGCGAUGGUGUCCGUAAAAAAGAGCCUGCUGUUGCAGGGGGGCGCAGGCCCGGGACUUGCCAGGACGCCGCGAGACUGUCACUUUGCUGUGAGGCUCCAGGGCCGAUCAGCGGGUCAUGCGUGCAGUCGGCAAGUACCAUGAGCAGACAUGUUGGGACCCGAAAGAUGGUGAACUAUGCCUGGCCAGGAUGAAGCCAGAGGAAACUCUGGUGGAGGUCCGUAGCGAUUCUGACGUGCAAAUCGAUCGUCGGAGCUGGGUAUAGGGGCGA
rnacentral:rRNA from 1 species